rnacentral:rRNA from 1 species
CCUACGGGAGGCAGCAGUGGGGAAUAUUGCACAAUGGGCGAAAGCCUGAUGCAGCAACGCCGCGUGAGGGACGACGGCCUUCGGGUUGUAAACCUCUUUUAGUAGGGAAGAAGCGAAAGUGACGGUACCUGCAGAAAAAGCACCGGCUAACUACGUGCCAGCAGCCGCGGUAAUACGUAGGGUGCAAGCGUUAUCCGGAAUUAUUGGGCGUAAGGAGCUCGUAGGCGGUUUGUCGCGUCUGCUGUGAAAACUGGGGGCUCAACCCCCAGCCUGCAGUGGGUACGGGCAGACUAGAGUGCGGUAGGGGAGAUUGGAAUUCCUGGUGUAGCGGUGGAAUGCGCAGAUAUCAGGAGGAACACCGAUGGCGAAGGCAGAUCUCUGGGCCGUAACUGACGCUGAGGAGCGAAAGCAUGGGGAGCGAACAGGAUUAGAUACCCUGGUAGUCCAUGCCGUAAACGUUGGGAACUAGAUGUAGGGGCCAUUCCACGGUUUCUGUGUCGCNGCUACGACAUUACGUUACCCGUCCGUCGGGUAGGUACGGCCGCGACGGACGUAAACGUUAAACGGUAAGUUAGACGGCGUGAGACGUGCCGACGACGACGACGAGGGAGUAGG